GGGGAAUCUUCCGCAAUGGACGAAAGUCUGACGGAGCAACGCCGCGUGAGUGAUGACGGCCUUCGGGUUGUAAAGCUCUGUUAAUCGGGACGAAAGGCUUUCUUGCGAAUAGUUAGAAGGAUUGACGGUACCGGAAUAGAAAGCCACGGCUAACUACGUGCCAGCAGCCGCGGUAAUACGUAGGUGGCAAGCGUUGUCCGGAAUUAUUGGGCGUAAAGCGCGCGCAGGCGGAUUGGUCAGUCUGUCUUAAAAGUUCGGGGCUUAACCCCGUGAUGGGAUGGAAACUGCCAAUCUAGAGUAUCGGAGAGGAAAGUGGAAUUCCUAGUGUAGCGGUGAAAUGCGUAGAUAUUAGGAAGAACACCAGUGGCGAAGGCGACUUUCUGGACGAAAACUGACGCUGAGGCGCGAAAGCCAGGGGAGCGAACGGGAUUAGAUACCCCGGUAGUCCUGGCCGUAAACGAUGGGUACUAGGUGUAGGAGGUAUCGACCCCUUCUGUGCCGGAGUUAACGCAAUAAGUACCCCGCCUGGGGAGUACGACCGCAAGGUUG
rnacentral:rRNA from 1 species